AACCUACUUGCUUACAGCAGUAAUAUCACAACUUCUCUUGAGAAAAAUACUGUUGUAUUAUCAUGUUAGAUAGAACUUUAUUUUAAUGAGAUACCUUGCUUAAUAAACAAAAGCCAGGAUUUGGCUUCAGGCUUUUAGAUAGAUCAGGAACUAGCAGCCAGGUGUUUACAAGCACUCUCACUUAGGAUGGAUGGCAUCGCCAGAGUACACAAAUCCUUUGGCAAGUGUAAGUAGUUGUAACUUAACUGGAUCGCUCAAAAUUAAUCGUAGCUCACUCCUUUUUUCCAGAUAUUGCAGGCUUUUUAGUCAUGACGCUGCAUACACAAUAAAGAAAGGAGUAGCUCCCGUAAGAGAACAAGGCCACCUCAGCAGGUGACAAGCUGUGGACAGAGAGGAACACGUUUGUAUCUGUUUUCAGUGUGUUCACCAUUAAAUAGCUAUUGAUUCACAUUUGCAGUGAUAGCACAUGGGUGAAGACACACGCAAAAUGAGCCAGCCUGUAUUUAGUGCUCAUCUGCAACAAGAUUUUUGCAAGAAAAGGGUUAGAAACUGUUCAACAGCAACUUUUAUUUAUAACCCCCCCCUUUUUUCUUUUUUUAAUUGCAAUUCCAUAGACUGCUGCAGCUGGUCCUAAAAAAAAACAACUCACCCUGUCACUGACAGGGUCCUUUCUUUUUUAAAAGUAGCCUUCAGUGCCCUGACAAGUGCUUGGCUACACACUGUCCCACAAAUACUUAGGACCUUAUCCUUCAAAUGCUUGGUACACAGUUUAGUCACCCAGAGGAGUAAAAUCAUGUGUAUAUCUACACAGGUUUUUGAAGAUGAAGGCACUAUGAAAGAAAAAUUACAUGUCAUCUGCCUUGUUCAUCUGCAACUCCCAAGAACGGAAGAUGGAGAGCAAUGGUAUUGAAGUCAGCAGAGUCGCAUCGAUGUAACCCUGAGAGGGGGUCUAUCAUGAUUUCCUGGGCGUGGGAGCCUCCCUACGUGGGUGAGGAGCCCCCCGUGCCUCCAAAGGGGGCACGGCAGUGCUGAGACAAGAGGGGCCGGCGCCCUUGGAGGAGCGGGAGCCGCGUCCCGAUCGCUCCGGCUCCGCUCCGGGUCCCCCGAGCCCCCCUAUUCCCCGUCCCCGGGCAGAUUUCGGGGUUCAGGGGGUGCAGGCGGGGAAGCGGCGCGGCCCCGACCCCCCGAGACCUCCAGAGCAUCGCGACGAGCGGCGGGACACAGCGGACGGGACACACUGGGAGGGGGCGGACAGCGGGAAAAUAAAGGAUCCUCCUACCCUGAGGGCUCCCUCACUGACUCUGCUGUGUACCUGCUC